rnacentral:misc_RNA from 1 species
CAUCACCCCCGAGAUCUCAACUUUCUCGCCGGCGAAUCCCGCCCUAAUGGCGUCUCCGACGGCGGCGAUCGGCCAUAUCAGUCUCCGAUCCCUCCUACCGCUGCUCAUCACCCUCUCCCUUUUCCACACAGUCCGCUCCGAUCAGUUCCCGGCCGAUGGCAAGGUCCUGGAGCUCGACGACUCCACCUUCGACGCCGCCAUCGCCGCCCACGACUACGUGUUCGUCGACUUCUACGCGCCGUGGUGCGGCCACUGCAAGAAGAUUGCCCCUGAGUUAGACAGGGUUGCUCAAAUGUUAGCUGCACGG